rnacentral:rRNA from 1 species
GACGAACGCUGGCGGCGUGCUUAACACAUGCAAGUCGAACGAAGUGGCGAACGGGUGAGUAAUACGUGAGUAAACUGCCCUCCUUUUUGGGAUAAGCCUUGGAAACGGGGUCUAAUACCGAAUAAAGGGGGAUGGGCUCGCGGCCUAUCAGCUGGGUGGGGGGGUGAUGGCCUACCAAGGCGGUGACGGGUAGCCGGCCGGGGAGGGUGACCGGCAAACUUGGGACUGAGAUACGGCCCAGAGUGCUACGGGAGGCAGCAGUGGGGGAUAUGGCACAAUGGGCGAAAGCCUGAUGCAGCGACGCCGCGUGGGGGAUGAAGGCUUUCGGGUUGUAAACCUCUUUCGCGAUCGAACGGGUAGGUGCAGAAGAAGCGCCGGCUAACUACGUGCCAGCAGCCGCGGUAAUAC